GAUCCUGGCUCAGAACGAACGCUGGCGGCAGGCCUAACACAUGCAAGUCGAGCGGCACCUUCGGGUGUAGCGGCGGACGGGUUAGUAACGCGUGGGAACGUACCCUUUUCUACGGAAUAGCCUCGGGAAACUGAGAGUAAUACCGUAUACGCCCUUUGGGGGAAAGAUUUAUCGGGGAAGGAUCGGCCCGCGUCUGAUUAGAUAGUUGGUGGGGUAAUGGCCUACCAAGUCUACGAUCAGUAGCUGGUUUUAGAGGAUGAUCAGCAACACUGGGACUGAGACACGGCCCAUACUCCUACGGGAGGCAGCAG
rnacentral:rRNA from 1 species